rnacentral:rRNA from 1 species
GCGUACGGGCGUGCUUACACAUGCAAGUCGAACGAUGAAGCCGCUUCGGUGGUGGAUUAGUGGCGAACGGGUGAGUAACACGUGGGCAAUCUGCCCUGCACUCUGGGACAAGCCCUGGAAACGGGGUCUAAUACCGGAUAUGACCAUCGGGUGCAUACCUGAUGGUGGAAAGCUCCGGCGGUGCAGGAUGAGCCCGCGGCCUAUCAGCUAGUUGGUGGGGUAAUGGCCUACCAAGGCGACGACGGGUAGCCGGCCUGAGAGGGCGACCGGCCACACUGGGACUGAGACACGGCCCAGACUCCUACGGGAGGCAGCAGUGGGGAAUAUUGCAGAAUGGGCGAAAGCCUGAUGCAGCGACGCCGCGUGAGGGAUGACGGCCGUUCGGGUUGUAAACCA